AUUUGUUAACAAAUUUCAAAAUACUACUUUGAAAUUUGGACGGAUAUUUCCUUAGACCAUUAUCAGUCUUUUCGUUAAAAUGUAAAAAGUUCUAAGCUUCAAACUAAUCGUACAUUACUGACACGACAUCCAGAACCAAAUACACAUCGCUGCAAAUGUUGCAUCAAGCUAUAAUCAUAACAUUAAGAUAUCAAUUUACAAACCUG